UCCAGGAGUAGUGAUGUGUUACUGUAAUUCCUGCUACUGGGGAGGCUGAGGCUGAUGGAUUGCUUGACCUCAGGAGUUUUGAGCUGCAGUAGGCUAAGCUUAUUGGGUAGCUCCCCUAAGACUGGCCCCAUUAUAGUGAGCCUCUGGGAGUGGGGAGGGCCAACAGUUUGCCUAAGGAGGAGAGAACUGGCUCAAAUUGGAAAUGGAGUAAAGUCAAAGCUUCUGUGCUGAUCAGUAUUAGGCUAGGGCCAUGAAUGACUACUGUAUUUCUAGCCUGGACAAGAAGGGAGACCUACUCUUA
rnacentral:SRP_RNA from 1 species